UUCAUUAUCAUUGUUUUCAAUAUGUUAAGUUUAAAUUCCAGCAUUUUGAAUUCAAGAUGGAUAGUUGUGGCAUUCAAGUUUUGAUUUGCUAUUGAGAGUUUCACGCGAAUCACUAAUGUUUCAUGUGGAUUGAUGAUUUGACAAUGUCUUGACCAUUAUUACUUUAUAAAUGGAUGGUAAAGAUCCACUCCUUAAUUUUUUAUAUCAAAUUGGUCAUAAAUAAAAAAUAAAAAAUAAAAAUACACUAAUUUACCCCUCGGUUUUCAGCAAAG
rnacentral:lncRNA from 1 species